UAAUUUUGAAUUAAUUGGCCGCACCCUCACGCCUGGCCUCGCGCGUACGAAUCCGGCCUACGAUGGUACCUCGCAUUGGUUGGCCUCCCUCCCCAGCCGAAUUGAUUAGCCAUUUUGGUGGGGGAGUGGGUGGAUUGAUCUCUGUUCCUGCGUUUGCUGCUGCAGCGGUCACCACCAAUGCAGCUUCGGUCAAUCACGGCGAUGUUUUUCCCCACCAAUGCCCCGGUGUUUCGCUGCAUCUGCCCUGACAGCGAGGGGUUUGCUAGGGUACUGGCAAGGUUCAACGUCCCUUGACUCCUUUGCUGGCGGUCUCCUCAGGGAGUCAGGGUGCGGUCUUGAGUCCUGGGCUCACUUCAUUGUUACUUGUGGAUAUGGACCGUGAUGCCCAUGCCGACAUUGCUAUUUGCUGGUCGAAAUAAAUAAUUGAUCAGUGUUCACGACCCGUACGUACAAUCAUGCUUUGUAAGCUUGUGACCCCAGCCAGUUACCUGUACUUUGUCUGAACUAUUGCUUUCAGGAAAGCAGGACGCCUUGCUUUUAUAAAAACAACACUGCGUUAGUCGUUUUUGAAUCAAAGUUGGAUAAGUUGGGUGUUUUCGUGUAAAAAGACAACUCAGCUGUCAAAACCUUAACGGUUCGUUGAUAAAAAAAAACCUUAAAGGUUUGUAGGCUUUGGAGCUGAACCCAGUUUCUAGUGCUGUAGGGUUUGCAUAUAAUUACAGCACCAUUGUGAUAGUUGAGUGCUUGCAAGAGCAGCACCGAAGGAAUACAUUGGGUCUUAAUUUCUUAAUCCUGGAGUAGAGAGUUAUUAUUAGCUUAAUCUCUUGAUCCUAGACUAGUUUCUUUAGCUUCAAAUGAUACAUUUAUGUUUUUGUAUGUGCAUAUGUGGUAGCUAUAACGUCCUAAGUAUACAUCGUAAUCAUGAAUUUAAAUUUUCUUAUGGUAAUAUUCAUAUAUAUAUUUUACUACAGAUAGGGUCUACAGUGGCCAUACUUAAUCCUUUUCCAUAUAUCCUUGUUACCCGUCAGUUUUGCUUUUGCAUGUCUUGUGUGGUCAGUGUCAUUCUUCACUUCCUUGAGAUGUCACACCUUGCUCUCCCUCACCUGUGUCAAUUCAAUAUUUAACAUCUUCUUUUGACAUAUUUCAAGCAUCACUCAUUGCUUCUUUUCUUACCUAAUUGCUAUAGGGACCUAGAAGUGACUGUUUGAAACAAGAAAUUCCGUGUUACCUACAUUUUCUCCUAACUGACAACUAUGUUGAAAAUGUGAUACAGUUUCCUUUCUGAUACCUGUGCUGUGAUCUUAUCAUCUAUUGAAUAUGGUUUCUCCGAUCAGCAUCUGGAAAUUAUUCAGAAUGACGGGCUCUCAAGUUCCAUAGAGUUCUAUAAAAUUUGUUUGCUGUACUGGCCGUUUCCAGUUUCUAGAACAAACAGUAACAUAAAAGGAUCGAACUAGGUCUACUGCCAUUUGGAUACUGCCUUGUGUAACUGAUGUAAUGUUGAUCAAUAUUAUUGUGUUAUCUAGUAAUUUACUCUAUUUGUUUCAGUGGAUUUAUGUUCAAGCCUGUUGACAUUGUGCAAUGUUAUUUUUCACCUGUUCAAUUAAGUACAUGUUAAACCUAAUGCGUCCAAAAAAUAAUAAUUUUCAUUUUACAGUAUCACCUAAACUGGCUAAACAUGUUGACAUAUUUUUAGAUUGAACACCGGUUGUGGUUUGUACUUUUGUUCCAUGAAUCUUCUGGAAAUGCAGUGUGUUUAAGUUGAUAAUAGGUUAUAGAUACAACGUUUUGGCCUGUUGGGCACCGCUAUAAAUUUCUGAAAUUUGCAGACCGCUGCUCAAUGAGACAUUGUUGGAGAUAUUCUAGAUCGUCCCUAAGUUGUUAAAGAGAGUAAGAUAACUUCCUUGUCCUGGGCGCAUGUUUGUGAUUUACAUAGUAGGCUCACAAGAAUGACCCUUAAACUGCUGGUACGCUAAUGAGAAGAUGGCCUUGAUUUCCCAUGACUCGUGCUCCCGAACAUAGCAGCCAGCCUGUGAAGGAGGAAAGUGCAGCAGUACUCUUGACAAGGCCUAUUGACUCAUCCUCACCAGCAAAAUGUGUCAUAGAGGUAAAACGAAAACCCAGAAGAAAAAAGAAGCAUGAUGCCUUGCCAUAUGAUUCCAUGAAUUAAAUUGUUGAAUGCACAUACACUUGGGUUGUAUAUUAGAUACAUUCAUUGCCACUGAGUUAGGCUGUAUCUAGUUGUUAUUAUUCUCUUGGUUGAUGAUACCAUCUACUUGCACACCUUCAUUAGUAGACAGUCAACUGAAGGAUGGUUCCAACUAAUUAAGCUGCUCAUAUUUGCUGCUUCCUCCUACCUUAUGCCAUUGGGCCAUUCAUUUUGAUUGAGUGGACCUAUUGAGUAGUGGCUAGGUAUACACUGUUGAAACUCUGCAAAUGCUAUUCUUCUCCCUCUACCUGAUCCUGGCAUGGUUCAUAGAACCAUAAUCUCAUCUUAGUUCUUUGAGCUUCUUAUGGACUAUAUAAGAAGAGAUUACUAACAUGAGCACAAAGAUGUACCAGCUUUGACAUUUGCCUUUACAUAUCUGUGAAUUCACAGUUUAAUAAUAACUGAUGGAACUAUUCGUAGUCAGUUAGUCAUGUCUCCAGUCUGUAAUUGACACAUGUUGACUGCAGAGACAGAUAGUGUUGAAGACAGGGAAAUUAACUUGACACGUGCAGCCCCAAGAUGGAGAAGCCUUUUAUAAUUACAGAAUUCCAAACUUAAAAGCUGUGCCAAUAUGCUUUCCUAUUUCCAUCAUCAUGCUGAUGUCAAAGGGAGGCUGAGAGGAAAGAACUAUUUGCAAGUACAUAUAUCAUGCAGCAGUAGAUUCGUGUCUUGCUUUUAGUUAUUUGCUUGUAAAACAAGAACUGUAUGGCUUUUAUUUUUUGCUUUACCUAAAUUUUAUGUUUCUGUCAAACCAAAGCAAUACUUGAUCACAAAUUCACAAUCAAUUGCAGUGUGGGUUGUGUCAAAUAGAAUGGGUGAACUGGCUGUUGAUUGUUCCUUUGCUCCAUUUGGACCUCAUAAUAGUACACACAUUACAAUAUCUCAGAUCUAAUGUUGCGAAGUUACUGUUGCUUGAGUAAUUAUGCAAAACGACAUGCAGUCCGGUGCAUGUUCGAGGAAAAAAAAACUGCUGAUUGUGUAAUUUGUGAUAUUAUUCCUUCUCAUCUGUUAUCUUCCAUUCGUUAAUGAUGAUGUUAGGUGGUCAUUAUUGCAGUCUACUGCUGCUGGCAAUCUUGACACUACAUAUCAAAUUAUUAAAUUAAAUGUCCUUUUUCAUCUGGAAGAGCACUAGCAUCCUCCUUUUUGAACAGUUGCUAUUUUCCCGUCUUGUUACUUCUUCCUUUUCAACCUUUUGUUUUUUCUGUCAACUGAUGUGUCAAUUUUUAAAACAUGCAGAUGCAUCCAAUAAUACAGCUCAUACGUCCAAGAAGACACAGGAUAUAAACAAAGCGAAUUAAAGUGCAUAUGCCACAUAAGUUGAAACGGCAUGGUUUUUGGAGCAAUUAGCACAUCCCCGCUUGUUUCGUAUCGCAACGAUUAAAACCAACCGGUGCGUGCGCGUGCCCGUGGGGGUUAAUGUCACCAUCUGUUCUUCCUCCAUGCAGGACUUGCAGUUGGGCCGAGAUAAACCGACUUUUAGCACCUUGAGCCAGGAGGAGAAAGCUCGCUCACUGGCACACUCCGGGUGACCCUGCUGUCAUGGUGCAUGCAUUAUGUAGAAGGGGUGGGAGAUAAGGGACGGCAGCGGCGUGGCGAUUAGCAAGGCUGGCAUUAGAAGAUCACGGGGGUAGGGCGAGUUUGACGAAUGAACGGGAGGGCAUCUUUUCCGGGGUCCCCAACAGGACAUAGGUCCACCCCCUCCCUCCCUACAGCACCACACAGGCACAGGCCCAAGGUGACUUACUCCCCCACUUUUCAAUUCAUCCGUUCCAAUUGGGCUUACGAUAAUACUAUUGUUACGAUCAGCAGCAUUAUGCAUGAGAGAGAAAGAGGAGAGAGAGAGAGGGAGAGGCGUUAAAUUUGUGAUGCAUGGGUCCUGCCGUCCUGGCGAUGAUGAACGAAUGAUCGGUACAGCCGGGAUUCAAGAGGGCUAAAAGAAGAGAUCAGAACAGGACGGACGGCAUCCAAUAGUACGCCCGGCGGGCCCGUCGAAGCCAACACUGCUGCAUGCGUACCUUUCGUCUCAUUUCCUCUCCUCUCUAGUCUCUAGAAGAGAGAGAAAAGAAGAGGGAGGAGAGAGAGUCGUAGGACACUGGGCCGUCGUCGGUAGGGGUAGGGGUACCGUCCAACCCAAUCCAAUCCACCCAUCCAUUGCUCCCAUGUAGACACAGUCAGUGGCUACCCAUCGAUGGAUGGAGCGAACGAUGCAGCUAGCGAGGCUGCUAUGGGGCCAAAGGGGAAAAGCGACCACGCCGCGCGCGCCCGCGCGUGUGUGCCAACCAACUCGACGCGCACUCGCGGUAUAGGCUGCUAAGCUACUGUACAAACCUCCUACGAAUGAGUAUGUUCAUGUCGCAAAUAGUUGGCAGCUGCCCUGGGCCUGGGGUAGCUACCCCGGCCACUUCCCCUUGCCCGCUCUCUCGCUCGAUUCCCCGUUGAAUUCGGACGGACCAUGGAUGAAACGCUUGAAAGUUGCCCUCAAUUCAUACGGCGAAACUUCAACGACGAUGCGACGCGGAACAUCGGUGAAACUUCUCUCAAACAUGUGCGUGUAGAUGCAUCUUUUAUCUUUCUGUGUAUAUAUCUGUUCUUCUGGUAGAAAGAAUAAUCUAUCUGUAUGCGUAGAAGAUGCUUUAUUUUACGUGGUCGGAGCAAGUGAAUGAAUACUGCUGUCGUCCCUUUUUAGCCGUGCUUCGUCCCUGUCCGUGGCUAGCUGUCAGCCGUGCGCGCGCGUGUGUGGUAUCCAUGCGUCCGUAGCCAAUUCUGCGCCUCCUGUAUCCCACAUAACCCCAAUGCAUGCCUCUGUGUAAAGCAUGCAUGUGAGCGCUAUAGAAUGGCGUAAUCGGCAAGAAUCUGGGGUAACAUGGCCUGCUUGCCAUAGGUUUGCGGCAAGGAGUGCUUUCUAAGUACAAGAGGACAUACAUUCCACGCCACACAAACACACACGAAUGCCACUCUACUAAACAUGCUACAAAUACUAUUCGCAUAGCGUGGGCACGCGCUUUAAUUACUGCCCUGAUUAAAAUGCGCGAUGUGUCGAUUUCAAUUUGUUUUCGUGACCCUAGCCUCUUGUUUUUGCCCUUUGUGUAUCUCGGCGGCCGAUUUGAACAGUUUCGAUGUUCUCGUUUCUGAGUCCUGCAACUAUGUGAAGAUUUUAGGAGUUUUGUGACCGUGCUCAAUCGAACGGCCCUCUUGCCAUUUCCCCUUCUCAUGCACUCCGAAAGAAGCGGUAUCUACUUUUAUGCGAAGUGGAUGCGUUUUGGGAUAUGUGUGACAACACAUGAACAAUUUCCGCAUGCACGCCCACUUCUCCACCGAUCCGGUGGCCAGCAGUUAGGAUAACCUUUUUAAUCAACUAUAAAUUGUUUGUCAAGACUACACCAUGAUUGCCCAACCAUUUGUAGCUGUCUCUUACCUUCCUAAUGGAGUCUAUCUAGGAUUAAAAUAUGUAAUUAAGGACGAGAUCCAUGCAUGGCUUUCUCGCCGUCGUCCUUUUCAUGGCAAACAAAUGGCCUAUAUCAAUUUGCUUUCAUGUAGUAUUCUGGAGAAUUUGCUUUCAUGCGAUUGGCAUCACUUUCUCCAGCCUAGUAUAUCCAUGUAGCUCGAAAAGUGCCCGCGUCCGACCUUAAAUUCUAUUCUAGUCUCUUUCUUUCUCCCUUCACUCUCAACGAAAGACACCUGCAAGACCAGUAAUAGAUGUUGCAUUCUUGGUGAAAGGCGACAUCAUGUUAAAUGUUCUCUAAUCGCAAGAAAUUGCUCAUGGUUGGUGCUUUGGUUUCAUUCCAACACGGUAAUAUGAAGUCUGUUAUAAUAUUAUUAUAACCAAGUUUCAUAUAAUUUGUUGUGAAGGGUUUAUAUGAUUUCAAGAUUCUAUUAUCAAUGUGAGGUUAAAAAGUUUCCACAUUUGCUCUGAACAUGCUAAAAUUUAUUGUAAAAAAGGAGAACGAGCUACGUUAUUCAUCUACGAGCAUAUGUUAUAAGUUAAGAUGGAGAUUAGUCAGAUGUACAUAGAGACUCGUCACAUCUCUUAUACAAAUAGUAGAUUUCUUUUAAGAGUAUACACAGAGUAAGAAUGCAUCUACAGUCAACAAACUUGUCUUUCCGAUCAGCUUUGGGCAGUGAAAAAUGCAAAUAAAGUUGCCAAUGGAGUUCACUAUGGUCUGGCUUGCAUUUUGUACAUAUGUUAGAAGGGCUCCACAUGUUCGCCUUCUCCACCCUCCGUCCCCAUAACUCUCUGCCCUCUCUCGCCAUGUUGCCAUCACGUUGUUCGAUUUAGGAUCGCUGGCACCAGUGAAACGCUGCUCCUAUAGCACCACAUCUAGUGACUCUAUGUCCUUAGUUUUAAGCUUCCAUCCAUCCCUCACCAUUAUAACAAUUAAUAAGAAGUGUGCACGAGAUAGAAAAAAGAGAGAGAUGAGAUUUCUUGCCCUAGAGAUUGGGCAAUACAACAACACCUUCGCGCUGCUAGAUCUAUGUUUAAUGAUCUCACUGGUAUGCGGCUAAGGACAAGGAGUAAUGGGCGAGGGCGCUGACACAAACAUGUCGAGGAAGACAAUAUAUGCUUCAACGUGGUAGUGUUCGGCAACAUACGAGAUUGACGUAGAUGUCAAUUGGCACGAGGAUAUCGGAGAGGACAUGUAACACAACCUGUUACAUCCGCCCAUGCCAAGGUACCGUGCUGUCAUGGAUGGACAUCAGGGACGACAUAGCAAGAGUGGCGCAGGCGCCCUUGGGUGGGGCAUGCCAGAGAGCGUGCAUUACACAGGCGGUCGCUUUGCUUAGGCCUCCAUGAGCUCCAUGGCUGCCUGGCUGUAGAGAGAGGGUAGGAAAAAUCUAAGGUGCCCGGCCAUUCUAAUGUACAUACACUAAUAUGUAUAGGAGGUGUGUUAGUAACGUAUUGGACCUCUGAAGCGUAGUGACCAUAUAUAUUCUGCAAUUUCGUGUAUACAAUGGCCAAAUUGAUUGAGAUGAAAAGGUUCGUUGACGAUAGAUGAACCUUAUACUCUCAAGAGAAUACAACUACCCCCCAACAUAGAAAUGGCAUUGUUUGUGGGCAGAGCUUAGCUAGUUAAGAAAAUGAUAACAAGUCACAUGUACUUACGCUAUACAUGCUUCAAAGAUGUAGAAUACACAAUUGUUCUUCGUGUAAUAUAGAGUAUAUACGUACCAACCGACAGAUUCCCUCCCAUCUCUCUCCUCUCUCUUCUCUCGUCCAUGCAUAACCUCCUAAUUAUGGUCAACAUGUAAGUUAAGAUAACAAAAUAACACAAUUUCGGAGUGGCAAAAGGCUGCAAAUGCAUGAUUAGUUGGUUAUCAGUGUUGGGGGGUCCAAAUUACCCUACUACUUUUAGCAGGACAUGACAGCAGACAGCACGGCUGGGCUCCAUUUCCACGAUAACAUCACUUUCCAUGACCCCCUUUUAAUUCGUAAACAAAACCUAAUUAAUGCUGUGCCGGAUAUGUACAUGCAUGACUGCAACUCGCACUACCACUCUAGUCUCCGAGAUCUUAUUCGUAUAGUCAAGCUAAGCGCAAACUGUGGCACGAGAGAGAGCCACGUCACCUUAUUUUCGGAUACACGUAAGAAAGCCAUAUAGUGUGCAUCAUACCUAUAGCACAACCCUUAGACUUUUUUGCCUACAAUUUGUUUCAAAAGGUUUGCAUAUAUACUCUUUCACCACUGAUGAUAAUACAAGAUUCACUCAUGCUCCUGUCCUGUACAACACACCUAGUCCACACAAUCGAGUUAUCGAUAACCCUCCUGCUUAUAUCCAUCUUCAUUAUGCUGAAAAUCCUUGAUUAAUUAUGGCUGUGGUUAACCCGCAAGCCCUGGCCACCCUUGUUGACAAGCCAUCAAUUAAUUAAGAGGGUCCAAUCCGUAAUAAUACUAAUUAAUCCCCUGUCCCUACGUGAUGUGAGGCCGCACCUUCCACGCAUAUGGUCCCCCCCAUGCAUCAUGCAUGAGUGUCACUCGUAGUGUAGCGCUUUUAGCAGCUAGCUGCCGCUAGCGUACCACUGCACAGUUUUCUUCUUAGUUUCUUUCCAGUGUCACCAUACAAUGCCCUGUCUGUGCAUGUAUCCGUCGACAUCCGUGUAAUCCCGUCAAUCCCUUCAUGCUUGUAUGCAUCACGUUCGCUGUCCUAAGAAAAAUGUAUGUAUCACGCACGUACACGUACGAUGACACAUCAGUGUGCUCGCUCGUACACCGGUUUGUCCUACUGGCAAACAUUAAUACUGCUCUGUAACAUAAUACUCCCUCCGUUCCCAAAUAUAAGUCUUUCUAGAGAUUCCAACAAACGACUACAUACGGAGCAAAAUAAGUGAAUCUACACUUUAAAAUAUGUCUACAUACAUCCGUAUGUUGUAGUCCAUUUAAAAUGUCUAAAAAGACUUAUAUUUAGGAACGGAGGGAGUAUAAGACGUUUUUUGUCACUGAUAUUAUGAUACGUCUUAUAUUAUGAUACGGACGGAGUAUAUACAUGCAUUUUAUUUAUGCAUGUACCCUACCUACCACUGUAAAUACAUUAAUAUGAAUGCGUAUUGUUGCAUCUUUAGCUGGCUGCCCAGCCGUAUUGAUAGUUCUUUGCAGGUCUGUAUGCUUGUGUAUUGUUGCACUUGUUGUAUAGCUGGUGCACGCCCACGCGCGUGCAUGCAUUAUGAAGAUCACAUGCAGGAUAUCUACUCCCUCCGUUCCUAAAUAUAAGUCUUUUUAGACAUUUUAAAUGGACUAUAACAUACGGAUGUAUGUAGACAUAUUUUAGAGUAUAGAUUCACUUAUUUGACUCCGUAUGUAGUCACUUGUUAAAAUCUCUAAAAAGACUUAUAUUUUGGAACGGAGGGAGUACAUGCGUGGUCCAUUCUCUCCAUCUUUGUUGGAAAUUUUGCACGGUCCAUUUUCCUUUUCGUCUGCAUAUCCUCAAGGCUAGCUAAGAUCACAACUGUCCAUUGGUGUAGCUCGAAGAGGGAGUGUACGCGUGGCCUCCAGUAGUAUACGUAGCUAUGGUAUCCUCCUACCAUGCACGCCAGCGUCUUGUUCAGACGUCGUUUUUCCUGUCCAAGAGUAUCUCCAUCGGGUCCUAGGAUGAGUGCUUACAAAUAAAAGAUGCCAGCUAUGAAUGGUCGAGCUUUUCUUGCUAGCUGCUAGCUAAUUGAUACGUAUGCAUGCGCAUGGGCAUAUUCCACGUUGCCCAAUAUUCAUCAAGAAUUAUGGGACAGGCAAUUCAUUAGUUAUAACACAAUAAUUUCACAUGCAUGAAGAUGUUCAAUUCCAAUCCAUAAGAGCAUUUACAUCCGGACUUGACAAACCCGAUCCCUCAAACGCCCGCGGACGUGACCGGCGUGUCCGCGGGCAGUGACCGAUCACGCCUUAAUUUUGCUACUCUAUAUCCGAGUCUCUCAAGUUUCAACCCCUAGAUCCAUACAAAGCAUGCAAAAGAAAUCCUACGUACUACAUACUAUGUAUUACCCUAGCUAAUCUUCGUCGUCGAAGAUGUCCACGACGUCGGUGCCGAGCGCCGGGUGGACGGGCGCGUAGGAGGGCUCCGGCUCCUCCUCGACCUCAUCCAUGUAGGCGACCAUCUCCUCUCGUCUGCGGCGUGCUCCGCCUUCAUCUCCUGCCGACGACGGUGUUUGCCCUCCGCAUCUGACUCCGAGCGGAGGGAAUCGAAGAUGGCCUGUUGCUCCGUGUCCCCGGCGUCCCCCACACCCCUCCUCCUCAGCCUCAACCUCCUCCUCCAACCCCAAAUCCUCCGGAUCCACUGCAUCCGGAGGUAGCCCCGGGCGAUCCGGGCUUCGGGCCUUGCCCGGAUCUGCUCAAGGAGCUACAGCCGGUGCUUCGGCGCUAGAAAUGGGUAGCCCCUCACCCGGCGGCGUGGGGGCAUGGCUACUAGUGGUGGCGGAUAGAGAGUGGACAGUGGCGGCGACGGCCGACGGGAGGAGGAAAAUGUGGAGGGGUAGGGUUUCGGUGCCGGCCAUCGACUUAAAUAGCCAGGCUAGGCAGUACGCGGCCCGCCGAAGCGGCGCCACGCGGCGACAUCGGUUUGAUGGAGGGGAUGAGCGUCGGACGCCGGAUUUCGGACUAUUUUCUUGUGGAACCCUAGCGUCAGUCCGACGUGGCGGACGCUCCCGGGCGCCCCCACAUCCACCCAUAUUUGGGCUGGAUAUGAGGGGUGCCGGUCAGCCCGGGUGUUUGAGACCCGUUUGAGGCGCCCAUCUGGGUUGGAAUUUGAUGACUGGCCAGUGAUCGGGCGGUCCUCCCGGGCGUAUGAGACGGGUUUAGGUAGCCCGGCUGUAGAUGCUCUAACACCCACAAAAUAAAACGGACCAUUACAUCGAAACCUUAUGAAAAAAGCUGGCAACACAUUGUUUGUGCUACAUCUUUAUCGUUAGUUGCGAAUAAAUGGAGCAAGUGUCCAUGAUGCACUGAUGCCCACCUUGAUUAUUUCUGCCGCCUGCAACUAGUGUACAUGUUAAUUAAUUAUCUGCUUUAAACACACUGGUCAUCGAUGCUAAAAUGACUGCAUGUUAUGUUCUCCUCACAAUUAUGAUCCAAUUAGCUAGGGACCUAGGGUACGUCUCAAUAAUUCUACACUUACGGAAAACCCAUACGGACUUGUUCUUACGGAUCCAUUUCGCACAAUUUGCCACGCUCGUCCGUAACUUCAAUCCCGUACGAAUGUUCCCGUAGGCCGUAGCUCUGGCGUACACGUUUUCAUCCGCAGACUGGUCUUAGUUUAAUUUGGACACUGCGUGACAUGAAAGCAAGGCCAGUGGAGUUUUCAUCUAAUGGGAAAUAGGGUUAAAAUAUAAUGUCAAUCCAACACGGCACAAGCAUACGCCAAGUGGUAUGUACAACGAUCAGUAGAGUUCAUAUGCUAGAAACCGUUGAGGUGCAACAGAGAAGGCAAGGUGGGGGACACAAUUAUUUGUACAAUCCACUUUAGCCGUGUGAACCAAGAGAACCUGGUCUUAAUUUGGUAGAGCAAUUGCUGUUACAAGGAUGCAGUACUCAUGUAUGGUCAACUAUCAGGUAUAGUCCUUCCCUUGUCUUGCGCUUCUGUUUAUAUUCAAAACACAGCUAGCGAUCAACAGUAUGGUCAUUAUGAACAUGAUUUAGUGUGGUUCGAAUCACAUAAUCACUUUAGGCCAUCUCUAGCCGAUCCCCUAAAAGUUAACGGAGUAAAACCCUUAGACUUUGUCUGACAGGAAGGGAUCGUGGGGGUUUUGGGAGAAGUGGAUUUAAGGAGAUUUGGUGAAUCCCCCUCUUUCACCCAAUCCCCUUGAAAGCUUAAAUUCUUCUUCAGCCACACAUCCCCUCCAGCCACGCAUCCCCUCCGCGAGGACGGCUGCUGCCGACGGUGGCGCGAGGAGAAGGCUCGGUCUCGUGCGUGGCUCCAAUUCCUCGAGGGCCUCCUCGUGCCUUCUGACCAGACUUUGUUUGACAGGAAGGGAUCGUGGGGGUUUUGGGAGAAGUGGAUUUAAGGAGAUUUGGUGAAUCCCCCUCUUUCACCCAAUCCCCUUGAAAGCUUAAAUUCUGCUUCAGCCACACAUCCCCUACAGCCACGCAUCCCCUCCGCGAGGACGGCUGCUGCCGACGGUGGCGCGAGGAGAAGGCUCGGUCUCGUGCGUAGCUCCAAUUCCUCGAGGGCCUCCUCGUGCCUUCUGACCCGCGUGGGUUGAGGCGGAUCGAGGGGGAAUCAGGUGGAUUGGGCCACCGAAACCUCGUGUGGAAAAUCCACUCGAUUCCCACCGAAACCUCGUGGGGAAUCAGAGGAUUGUAGAGGGUUCUGGGCCACGCGUGGAAAAUCCACUCGAUUCCCCCCGAAACCUCUCGUGUCAAACGAAGCCUUAGUGGAGUAUAUAUACUCCACUAAUUUUUGGCCGUUUUUAGCCGAUCCCCUAAACUUAACGAAGUAAACUUCAAUUUGAUCAAAUUGCAAUUUGAACAGAAAGUAGCAUGCAUUCAAAUAUAAACAUAGAUAGUUUUGCACAACCGAACAUAAAACAUAAAUUUAAACUAAACAAAAGCAACUAAACUACUUUCGGUCGAAGUGGACGUCGAGCCAACCCUUCCUUGUCAAGUACGGUGUGCCGCGAGCCGUCGAGCCGGUCCGGACCGGUGCCGUCGUCGGGGUCGUCGGCGAAGACACUCCUCCACUCGUCGACGUCGAUCUCCUCGUCGUGGCCAUCCACCUCGCCGCCUUGGACCUCGUCGGAGGAGGAGAUAACGAUAACCUCGCCGCUGGCGUUGGCAAAGAUCAUCCGCUCCAGGUGCUCCCGGCCAAGCUCUUCCAUGUAGGCCUCGUCGGCGGCAUCAACCUCGAGGCACUCCCUCACCUCGCGGUCCUCCCGCGCCAUAGCCGAGCUCACCACCCCCCGGCUCCGGCGGGAUGAGGUGGACCGGACGUGUGCCUUGGUAGGAAAUUGAGCCGAGCCGCCUCACCGUGGAAGUGGACCUGUCAGCGGUCGUAUUCCAUGGCCGCGAUCUCGGUCAUGUGGAAGGUCCCGAGCCACCGCUUGGUGUGGGUCUCCCGAUCCGUGAUUUCGGCCACCCAUGUCCCCCAGUGUUGCUGCCGGACCCCGAGGUAGGUCCUCAUCGACGGCCGAGGCGGAGGGAGGACGGGAAAGUCCUCGAACCGGUGUAGGGGCGCGGCGGCGGGCAGAUCGGGCGACCAGCGACAGCGGCUCGAUGAAGAGCCCACGGAGGACGACUGCGCGCGUAGCGGCGCAGACUGGCGGCCACCACGUCCGGCCAUCGGAGGGGUGGGGGAGGGCGGGGAGCGUGUCGGAGGCGAUGCGGGGGGGAAG